AGUAGUAGCAUUAACAGUUUCUGUAGCAAUAGUAGUAGCAAUAGAAGUAGCAGUAGUAGCAGUUGUUGCAGUAGUAGCAGUUGUUGCUGCUGUUGCUGCUGCUGUUGUUGCUGCUGUUGUUGUUGCUGCUGUUGCUGUUGUUGUUGCUGCUGUUAUUGUUGCUGUUGUUGGUGAUGGUGUUGUUGAUGCUGUAGUAAUUAAAGUAGUAGUUCUGCAGAAGUAGGAGUAGUUGUUACUUUCAAAGCAAUUUCUACAAGUUUAAAUUCCUUAACCCUGUCCAAGUGGUAUACACACUGUUUUUUCUCAAUAUCAAACUCAGCCAGUCCAGGUUGUCAAAUAACAAUCUAUCUGAUAAGGUCAGCAAGUGUUGUGCAUCAGAUGUUGGGUAUGUUUGCUGCAAAUCUAUUGGUUAUAAGAUAUAACAGCCUUUUCUAAUUGGCUGAAUUCAAAUACAGAAAGUUUACCUGUUAGAUUGAAACAUGAAACAUGGUGGACAAUGUACUGGUUUAACUUGUUAAAAUAAAGUUAAAGAAAUUUAACAAACAGAAGAGUUCAUUAGUUUUUCCAUUAAAAACACUUUCUUAAAAUACUUAUGUAUUUAUAUCAUUUGGAAAGUGACAUGAAAUAUUGCUAAAGAGUGAUGCAUACAGUGUUUGAGCAGUCUGUCUAGGAAUAGAACAACAACUGAAGUUGAUGGAAGAUACUGCAGAGUUUGGCAGGGAAAGAAUCCAACAGCAAAGCGGCUCUUUAAGCGCAUUUACCUAGAGGACUUACAGGGCCACAAAUUCAUGAGCACAUGUGAGCAGUAUACAAUGUACCUCAUACCAAAAAGGACCCGGAGGCAGUGACUGGUGUUCAAUAUUCUCAGAAGAAAAGGAAAAUGGCAGUGGAAGACUUGGACAAACAUUUUUAAAAACUAGCCUCUGUGUUAAGCCUGGCAGUCUGUGGCUGGUGACAUGUUUUAUUUUGGUUACUUCUUGUAUAAAAAAGACCAGUUAUUUAUUUUGUGAAUUGUA